rnacentral:lncRNA from 1 species
CUGUUUGUAUCAUACUUAGGGCCUCCGUAUUUAGAUCUCGUAUAAAUACUCGGGGGACUCAAAUGUAAUUAUGUAAUAAAUGAAUGGGCAUAUAUGUAAUAAGUGAGGAUCCCUUAUUCUAUAAAAUGACUUCUCACUCUCCUCAUUAAGGGAGGCGGCCUGAAGCCCCCUCACCCUCAAGCUCUCAUCCUCACAUACAGAGGCUCUCACCCUUCCAUCCUCAAUCCUUUUAGAGAAAUACAAUAUCAGUGUGGACGUAGCCCGAACAUUGGGGUGAACCACGAUACAUCUUGUGUUCUUUACAUUUCUUGCAGAUUCACGGUCAGAUAUACGUUGUUCUAAGAUCUCCGGUUUUGUGCAUUAACAAUGUUAGAAGACUAAAUUUGUAGAUAAAAUUUGCAAAUUUCAAAUGAUGUGUCCCCAAUAGAAAUGAGUACGUUUAUUAACGUUUAAGUCACAUCAUCAACUUUCAUAUCAUUUAAUUUACAAAAUUAUGUCUACAAAUGACAUUAUACUUUUGCAAAUUCAGCUUAAAUCAUAUAUUUACAAGGACCACUAUUUUGUCAUGUUAAAAGAAAAUUACAAUAAGAAAUUGAAGGAAAAAAAAAGUUGUGACUUGUCUUCGUGUCAUAACAUAAUUCAAAAAGUAAAAUAAAAAGGGUCUUUUGUCACCUGACCGUCAACAAGAGAAGGCCUUUUGUUUCACGUGAGUUGCAAUA